AUUCCAGCUCCAAUAGCGUAUAUUAAAGUUGUUGCGGUUAAAAAGCUCGUAGUUGGAUUUCUGCUGAGGACGACCGGUCCGCCCUCUGGGUGAGUAUCUGGCUCGGCCUUGGCAUCUUCUUGGGGAACGUAACUGCACUUGACUGUGUGGUGCGGUAUCCAGGACUUUUACUUUGAGGAAAUUAGAGUGUUUCAAGCAGGCGCACGCCUUGAAUACAUUAGCAUGGAAUAAUAAGAUAGGACCUUGGUUCCAUUUUGUUGGUUUCUAGAGCUGAGGUAAUGAUUAAUAGGGAUAGUUGGGGGUGCUAGUAUUGGCCGGCCAGAGGUGAAAUUCUUGGAUUCGGUCAAGACUAACUUAUGCGAAAGCAUUCACCAAGGAUGUCUUCAUUG
rnacentral:rRNA from 1 species